GAUGAACGCUGGCGGCGUGCCUAAUACAUGCAAGUCGAGCGAAUGGAUUAAGAGCUUGCUCUUAUGAAGUUAGCGGCGGACGGGUGAGUAACACGUGGGUAACCUGCCCAUAAGACUGGGAUAACUCCGGGAAACCGGGGCUAAUACCGGAUAACAUUUUGAACCGCAUGGUUCGAAAUUGAAAGGCGGCUUCGGCUGUCACUUAUGGAUGGACCCGCGUCGCAUUAGCUAGUUGGUGAGGUAACGGCUCACCAAGGCAACGAUGGGUAGCCGACCUGAGAGGGUGAUCGGCCAAGCUGGGACUGAGACACGGCCCAGACUCCUACGAGAGGCAGCAGUAGGGAAUCUUCCGCAAUGGACGAAAGUCUGACGGAGCAACGCCGCGUGAGUGAUGAAGGCUUUCGGGUCGUAAAACUCUGUUGUUAGGGAAGAACAAGUGCUAGUUGAAUAAGCUGGCACCUUGACGGUACCUAACCAGAAAGCCACGGCUAACUACGUGCCAGCAGCCGCUGUAA
rnacentral:rRNA from 1 species